rnacentral:rRNA from 1 species
UACGUAGGGUGCGAGCGUUAAUCGGAAUUACUGGGCGUAAAGCGUGCGUAGGCGGUUCGUUAAGUUCGUCGUGAAAUCCCCGGGCUUAACCUGGGAACUGCGCUUGUUACUGGCAAGCUGGAGUGUGGCAGAGGGGGGUGGAAUUCCACGUGUAGCAGUGAAAUGCGUAGAGAUGUGGAGGAACACCGAUGGCGAAGGCAGCCCCCUGGGCUAACACUGACGCUCAUGCACGAAAGCGUGGGGAGCAAACAGG